rnacentral:rRNA from 1 species
GACGACGCUGGCGGCAGGCCUAACACAUGCAAGUCGAACGAGUGGCGGACGGGUGAGUAAUGUCUGGGAAACUGCCUGAUGGAGGGGGAUAACUACUGGAAACGGUAGCUAAUACCGCAUACCAUCAGAUGUGCCCAGAUGGGAUUAGCUUGUUGGUGGGGUAACGGCUCACCAAGGCGACGAUCCCUAGCUGGUCUGAGAGGAUGACAAGCCACACGGGAACUGAGACCCUGUCUAGACUCCUAGGGGAGGAAGCAUGGGGGAAUAUUGCACAAUGGGCGAAAGCCUUAUCCAGCCAUGCCGCGGGUGUUAAGAAGUUCUUCGGAUUGUAAAGCACUUUAAGUUGGGAGGCGUUACCAACAGAAUAAGCACCGGCUAACUUCGUGCCAGCAGCCGCGGUAAUAC